UGGACUUAUGCAGGCUUUAUUCGCCAUUAACUAUGACUUUACCUAAUUUGCUGCUUAUUAAUAGUUAUUAAGGUAGUUGUUAAGUUUAGGUAUUGGGUAGGAAUGUAGAAUAAGGUCAUCUAGAAUAAAACAUUAAUAUGUGCUUUAUUAGUAUUAACAAAUGUUAAUAAGCAACCAGUUAAGAGACCCUAAAUUAAAGUGUCACUGUAUGUUUUUGCGAGUCUUGAAUUAAAACAGGAAGAAGGAACAUGUUUGUUCUGAAUUUUUUUAUAUAUUCCAAUUGUUUAAUUUUAUAGUUCAGUUGCAUUUAACUAAAGUUUUUUGUUCAACCAGAUGGUACAGAGCAACCUUUUGAGGUUCUUUUUGUGUCUUCUUUGGUUGUAGGCUAGAGGAAAAAGGAAGCAGAGAAAGAAGGAAUGAAACAGGUUAAGUUUUAUAUUGUGCCUUCUGUAAGUGCCAAAGCAGCCUCAGUUUUGAAAAGACCAGCACAAGCCAUAUUCCUUCAUAAACAAUGCAAUGUGUUCUGGGGUGAAGCAGAAAAGUGCUAAAUCCUCUCAAAGAGGGGAUAAAUCUUUCAUGAAUGAGACACACUUCCCCUUCUUAAAAGGGCAGAGUGGAACACACUCACACACAAACGCACACACACACAUCUGUGCAUACUCGACACUUAUAAAUAAGAAGCAGCCUCACUGCCACGCUCAGACAACAAAAUGCAAAGCUGUUUGGAUUUCUCCCACUAACGAUGUGAAUUAUAAAUGAGACUCUGUAAUUUGGAGGAAGUUGUGAGCUGGUGAUUGCUUAUCAAGCCUCAGUUUCUGCUGAACUCUGAGCAAAAAUAAAAGACAGGUUUGGAGGAAGGAGUCAGUUUGAUCUUUUAUAUAUUCCGUGUAACAUACACUCACAGGCCACUUAAGUACCAGGUUAAACCUGCUUAAGUUCACAUUAAGUCUUUGUGGCAUAGAUUCAACAAUGUACUGGACACAAUUUUGAGGGGAUUUUGGUCCAUUAACAUGAUAGCAUCACGCAGUUGCUGCAGAUUUGUCGGCUGCAUAUCCAUGAUGAGAAUCUCCCGUUCCACCGCAUUCCAAAGCUGCUCUAUUGGAUUGAGAUCUGGUGACUCAUUUACAUUUUUGAGAUGAUUUGAGCUUUGUGGCAUGGGACAUUAUCCUGCUAGAGGUCAGAAGACAUCACAAGAUCGCACACUGUGGUCAUAAUGCGAUGGACAUGGUCAGCAAUAAUACUCAUGUGGACUGUGGUGUUUAAACAAUGCUCAAUUGGUACUAAGGGGCCCAAGUGUGCCAAGAAAUGAUCCCUGACAUCAUUCCACGACCAGCAGCCUGAUCCGCUGAUACAAAACUGGACGUAUCCAUGUUUUCUUGUUGUUUACUCCAAAUUCUGACCCGACUCAUCAGACCAGCUGACAGGAUUGGCACCCCACGCUAUAACCUCUCUGCUUCAAGGCAUACUCUACAUGACUGCUUAGAUUCAGGAGGAGAGGGAGUCUGUACAGCUGCAGAAACGAUGUGUGAGAGGUGGAGCAGAAGGACCUGCUCACAUGCAAUCAUAGUGGCUGCUGAUGGAUGCAAAGUGGCAUCUGAAGCACUGGCUGCAGAGAGCCGCCCAAACCAGAGAGCAGACGGCAGUACAAGGCACUGAGCCUCGGUGGAGAGAAGCAGCUGACUGCAUGCAAUUGCAUUAUUAAUAAUAUCAUAAUCUAAAUAAUAAAGCUUUG